GCAGGCAGCUGGGACAGCGCUGGGAAGGGCCGAUGGGCAUGGCCAGCAUGCAAUGCUGCACGGGGCAGGGAGCCAGGGGCGACGGCUGAGGGUUUGAGCAGUGCUGCACGUGGUCCCCUCUGUGCCGUUCUAUGGAGUCACUGCUGUUCUUCGUGCCCUCAACGUGGGGCACAGCAUCAAGCGUGGGGAUGUGAAGAUGGCAGCAGGACGACCCGCUCUGUGGGUGCUGCAGAGCUGUGACGGGGAAGCCUGCAACCCUUGGGAGGAGCUGGGUCACCCCGAGACCAUAGGAUAUUCAUUACCGUUCCCUGGGGGUGUCCCUGCAGACCCCAGCGCCGGCAGCACCGCAGCUCCCAUCCCUGCAGGAGCUAAAGCCACAGAGCUGUGAGUCCUUCAAACCCAGACAGUGUGAGGCCCAUCCUCUCCAGGGAAAUGAUGAAGAUUAAGCAUUUUUAAAUCAGGUCAUCGCAAAGGAGACGCGUGCCCUGCCGAAGCCUGCUGUUGCUGGAUAGGUGUGUGCAGGAGCAGAGGGACACACGGCUCACACAGUGCCACGUGGCCAUGCCCAGCACUCAGGACAAGGCUGUGCUGCCUGCAGAAGACACACGAGGACAAACCUCAUCCUCCUCUCCUUCCAACCCCUGCACCCAUGGGCACACGCGCCCACCCGCUGCACUCACUCCAUACAUCAUUCAUUGGCACCCAUAGGUCAGCAUUUCCACCAUACCCAAAACAUUUAUUUCUCCAAAACUAUUGCUAAUGACAAUGAAUACAGUUCGUAGCCCCAGUACGGAUUUAACAUCUCCAACACAUAUACUCCUAAAUACUGUACAAUACUGUACCAAAGGGGGGGGAAAAAAAAAAAGGAUGUACCUCCAUAUUGUACAGUUAUAUAUACAAAG